rnacentral:rRNA from 1 species
AGAGUUUGAUCCUGGCUCAGAUUGAACGCUGGCGGCAGGCCUAACACAUGCAAGUCGAACGGUAACAGGAAACAGCUUGCUGUUUCGCUGACGAGUGGCGGACGGGUGAGUAAUGUCUGGGAAACUGCCUGAUGGAGGGGGAUAACUACUGGAAACGGUAGCUAAUACCGCAUAACGUCGCAAGACCAAAGAGGGGGACCUUCAGGCCUCUUGCCAUCGGAUGUGCCCAGAUGGGAUUAGCUUGUUGGUGGGGUAACGGCUCACCAAGGCGACGAUCCCUAGCUGGUCUGAGAGGAUGACCAGCCACACUGGAACUGAGACACGGUCCAGACUCCUACGGGAGGCAGCAGUGGGGAAUAUUGCACAAUGGGCGCAAGCCUGAUGCAGCCAUGCCGCGUGUAUGAAGAAGGCCUUCGGGUUGUAAAGUACUUUCAGCGGGGAGGAAGGGAGUAAAGUUAAUACCUUUGCUCAUUGACGUUACCCGCAGAAGAA